AUUUGUUUGUUCUUGUCUGGUGUCUUCAGCUGAUGGUUCUGUUCGGUCUGUUAGGAGCUUUUCACAUCUACAUGAGACACACGUCAGGAAAGGAACUGGAAGAUCAGAAAGUGAGGAUGAGGAGAUUGAGAGAAGGACAUGAACACACAGCAGAAGAUUGAUGAGAGCAGCAGAUCUUCUGUAUUUUAUGAUUUUUAACAUGUUUAGACACAGAUGUCUAUUUUAUAUUCAUUUGUAAGUGGAGUCAGUUUUGAAAUUAAAAGGAACUUUGGCAUGUGGUAAGUUAAAUGAAAAUAAAAUGCUUUUGAAAUUAAACUGUAUUUCCAGGCAAAAGUCUCAAGCUCCUUUAUUUCAUAAGAGUUAGGUCAGGUGGUCAAGAUGUCACUUAGGGUUAGGAGUUAGGUGUCAAAUUCCUGAAUUGAGUUAAUCCGGUUCUACAAUGCUAUUGUAAAGUGUAUUACUGUGUGGGAACUGAACAGGAUUGAGCACUAAAAGAUAAAUUAAGAACCAAAUUUGUGUAUCAAAUUGCCAAAGUCAAGCACUCCAUAAAACAAACAAAUCAAGUUAAUAAAAGAAAAGUGCAUAAAAUAACAUUUGCAUUAGAUGAUUCGUUAACAUGAUUACACUUUCAAUAAAUAAUUAGCAAUUGGUUUGUAAAUGGUGUUUUGAGUCAUGUUUGGUUUGAGUUCUUGUUGCAUUUAGCUAUCCGGAGGAAAGAGAGUAGCUUUCCAAACCGACUGGUUCAAAUGAUUUUCGGGAGAAUUUUUUUAUUUUUAUUUAAUCAUAUUGUUGGUUGGUUUUGAUCAAUUUCAAUUUUGUUCAGAAAUUUUAAGAAGGACUAGAGUACAUUUGAUCCAAAAACAUCAGGAUUCAUUGUGGAUUUUAGGAAUUGAGUAUUUACGCCUUACAUGUCAAAUGUGAAACAGGUCUUUUCAUUUAACUAAAUUUGCAUUUAGUUUUAUAACCCCUGAUAACUGUACCACUGCAUGUUUGGACUGAAAUAUACUUCUUACUGGUAGUGAUGGUAGAAACUAAGCUAUUUAUUUCUUUUGAAUAAACCAUUUUCAAUAUUUGAUCCAAUCUGAUGAGCCCGGUCUCAAGAAAAUGAGUAUAAAUAGAACACCGAAUAAAAACAGAAAAUCAUGAUAUUGAAACGCAAACAUU
rnacentral:lncRNA from 1 species